GAUGAACGCUGGCGGCGUGCCUAAUACAUGCAAGUCGAGCGAACAGAUGAGGAGCUUGCUCCUCUGACGUUAGCGGCGGACGGGUGAGUAACACGUGGAUAACCUACCUAUAAGACUGGGAUAACUUCGGGAAACCGGAGCUAAUACCGGAUAAUAUAUUGAACCGCAUGGUUCAAUAGUGAAAGACGGUUUUGCUGUCACUUAUAGAUGGAUCCGCGCCGCAUUAGCUAGUUGGUAAGGUAACGGCUUACCAAGGCAACGAUGCGUAGCCGACCUGAGAGGGGGAUCGGCCACACUGGAACUGAGACACGGGCCAGACUCCUACGGGAGGCAGCAGUAGGGAAUCUUCCGCAAUGGGCGAAAGCCUGACGGAGCAACGCCGCGUGAGUGAUGAAGGUCUUCGGAUCGUAAAACUCUGUUAUUAGGGAAGAACAAAUGUGUAAGUAACUAUGCACGUCUUGACGGUACCUAAUCAGAAAGCCACGGCUAACUACGU
rnacentral:rRNA from 1 species